AACGAACGCUGGCGGCAUGCCUAACACAUGCAAGUCGAACGAGAUCUUCGGGUCUAGUGGCGCACGGGUGCGUAACGCGUGGGAAUCUGCCCUUUGGUUCGGAAUAACAGUUGGAAACGACUGCUAAUACCGGAUGAUGACGAAAGUCCAAAGAUUUAUCGCCAGAGGAUGAGCCCGCGUAGGAUAAGCUAGUUGGUGUGGUAAAGGCGCACCAAGGCGACGAUCCUUAGCUGGUCUGGGAGGAUGAUCAGCCACACUGGGACUGAGACACGGCCCAGACUCCUACGGGAGGCAGCAGUGGGGAAUAUUGGACAAUGGGCGAAGGCCUGAUCCAGCAAUGCCGCGUGGGUGAUGAAGGCCUUAGGGUUGUAAAGCUCUUUUACCCGGGAUGAUAAUGACAGUACCGGGAGAAUAAGCUCCGGCUAACUCCGUGCCAGCCGCCGCCGUAA
rnacentral:rRNA from 1 species